UGAGCCCAACUUUUUACAAAGGAUAUACAUUGAAAUACCAAAAACUCUCUUCAAAAUGAAUUUCCGAAGAAUUUUGGUCGCCAUUGUUCUCAUCGUCGCCGCGAUGUCGACCGUUGCUGCGCAGAAGUGUAAAACCCAUGAUGACUGUUCAUGGGGAAGUCGGUGUGUUAGAGGAACUUGUCACUAAUGAUUGCGACGCUUGGUUUACAAAUCGGAUAUCGGCAUGAAAACACAAAAUUAAUAUUAACAAUGAGGUCCACUUGUUUAAUAUUACAUUAUUAAAUAUGAAAUAAAAUCAUGUAAGAAUUGCAAUAUUGUCAAUUUGGCUUACAAAACUUGGCAGGUUUACAAAAAUUGUACACUAAAUUCAUUUAUAUUAUUAAAUAGUUCAAUAAGACGCCAUUCAUUGUGGAAACUAAUCAUGCGAAAUUCUUUAAAAUUGAUUAUAUUUACAUUUGAAUAAAAGAGCGAUUAAUUAUGUCAA